UCCCGGAUUCUACUUUCCUAUCAGAGAGGGGUACCUUGCUUGGACUAAUUGGAGACUGAGUUGAAGCUGAAGCAGGACCCGGAGUAGGGAUUGGAGUAGAAGAGGACUUGGCGGCUAAUCUCUUUUUGCGCACACUCUCUUCCAACCCACGAACAGAUUUUUUUCUCUGUGGAAGCUUCAUUUUGGGAGCCAUUUGCACAAGAAGGACUUGCUCGAAGCUUUGGAGACUAAAUACGAGGGAGAGAGGAAAAGAUUUUAGUGGAAAGGUAGAGAUUUUGGAGAGGAGAGGUGCCGAUUUGGAGAAGACGGGUAGAGUUUAGGGUAAGCUCGAACCAUCCCAAAUGAGGAGGGAAGAGAAGAAGAACUUGGUUUUUAAAUGAUCGAUUUGAAGGAUGAAAAUGAGUGGGAGAAGAGAUUUGAGAGUAAUCUAGGUUUGAGGGAGAAGAGAUGGAGAGCCUUAGGUUUGGAGGA
rnacentral:lncRNA from 1 species